GAUGAACGCUGGCGGCGUGCCUAAUACAUGCAAGUCGAGCGAACGGACGAGAAGCUUGCUUCUCUGAUGUUAGCGGCGGACGGGUGAGUAACACGUGGAUAACCUACCUAUAAGACUGGGAUAACUUCGGGAAACCGGAGCUAAUACCGGAUAAUAUUUUGAACCGCAUGGUUCAAAAGUGAAAGACGGUCUUGCUGUCACUUAUAGAUGGAUCCGCGCUGCAUUAGCUAGUUGGUAAGGUAACGGCUUACCAAGGCAACGAUGCAUAGCCGACCUGAGAGGGACGUCGGCAAAGGUGGAGGUGAGAGCCGGACGGGACUAGUGCAGGAGGGAACAGGAGGGAAUGUGACGAGAGGGGCUAAGGUGUGAAAGACUAUUGCAGGAGGAGUGAACAUGGGUUUAGGAUGGGGAAAAGCUGUUGGUAGGGAAGAAGAAAAGAGAAAGGAAGAGUGCGGAGAAGGACGGGGCGUAAACAGAAAGACACGGAUAGAUUGGAG
rnacentral:rRNA from 1 species